rnacentral:rRNA from 1 species
UACGAAGGGGGGCUAGCGUUGCUCGGAAUCACUGGGCGUAAAGCGCACGUAGGCGGCUUUCUAAGUCAGGGGUGAAAUCCUGGAGCUCAACUCCAGAACUGCCUUUGAUACUGGAGAGCUUGAGUCCGGAAGAGGUGAGUGGAACUCCGAGUGUAGAGGUGAAAUUCGUAGAUAUUCGGAAGAACACCAGUGGCGAAGGCGGCUUUCUGGACGGUAACUGACGCUGAGACGGCGAAAAGCGUGGGGAGCAAACAGGG